CGUAAUCGAGUACGUCUUCGAGCUCGUGUUCGAGAGCCUGCAUCAUCGGGACUUGGCCUGUUCAGCAUCUUGUGCGUUUGGCAUCCCACUUACGACGAGCAGAAUGCAGAGCAGCCGCCCGCAUUGUGAAUGAAAACCAGAUUGCACUUCUCGGGUCUGAACGUGUCUAUGUGCGAAUCGUGCCAAUCAUCGGGCUUGGCGUGCUCCGCGUUCGCUGCCUCUGGCACCCCGCUUACGACGAGCCGGUAGCCGAGCAAUGGUCCACGUAGCCAGCGACGACCAACCUCCGCUUCUGGAUUCUCGUCGUGUCUAUGGGCGUCGUCCACUUCGGAGUCAUCGCUUGUGCUCGAGUACGUCUUCGAGCUGUGGCACCCCACUUACGACGAGCCCAUUGCAGAGCAGCCGCUCCUACAGUGGAUGAAAUUCAGCCUGCGAUUCUGGGACCUGAACGUGUCUAUAUGAGCUAGACCCCUGCCGACCAUCGAGCUUGGCUUGCUCCGCGUCCGAUGUCUAUGGCACCCCACUUGCGACGAGCCCGUUACCGAGCAAUGGACUACGUAGCGGGCGACGG